GCGGAUGUAAUACAACGGUAGUAUGGAAACUUCCCAAGCUUCACACGCGGGUUCGACUCCCGUCAUCCGCU
rfam:Treponema porcinum strain ATCC BAA-908 genome assembly, contig: EI69DRAFT_scaffold00010.10